rnacentral:rRNA from 1 species
GACGAACGCUGGCGGCGUGCUUAACACAUGCAAGUCGAACGGAAAGGCCCUGCUUUUGUGGGGUGCUCGAGUGGCGAACGGGUGAGUAACACGUGAGUAACCUGCCCUUGACUUUGGGAUAACUUCAUGAAACUGGGGCUAAUACCGGAUAGGAGCUCCUGCUGCAUGUUGGGGGUUGGAAAGUUUCGGCGGUUGGUGAUGGACUCGCGGCUUAUCAGCUUGUUGGUGGGGUAGUGGAUUACCAAGGCUUUGACGGGUAGCCGGCCUGAGAGGGUGACCGGCCACAUUGGGACUGAGAUACGGCCCAGACUCCUACGGGAGGCAGCAGGGGGGAAUAUUGCAAAAUGGGCGGAAGCCUGAUGCAGCAACGCGGCGUGCGGGAUGACGGCCUUCGGGUUGUAAACCGCUUUCGCCUGUGACGAAGCGUGAGUGACGGUAAUGGGUAAAGAAGCACCGGCUAACUACGUG